rnacentral:rRNA from 1 species
AUGCCGGGGUGCAACAAGGCCCCGAUGGCUGCGUGGAAACCUUCUCCCAAGCCGAUGUGGAAGGCGCCAGAGAAGCCUCCGGCCGCUGACCCGGCCAAAGAGGAUGAGUUGCAGGGCGCGAAGAAGGACGCGGGGGCCGCCACUGCUGUUGGCGACGACGGCGCUAGGAAGGGGAACUCGUCCCCAUUGCCUCCGCCGAGGAAGCUGCAAGAUGCGCCGGUGGUGAACCUCAACGCGUCCUGCUCCUCGGAGGCCUCUGUGGAGUCGCUCCGCGGCCAGGCCCCAGGCGGAAGGACCGAGAGGGGUUGGUCCCGGCCGACCGCGCCCAAGCGUGGGAAGGCUGCGUCUAAGGUGGUGGAGAAGCACGCCGAUGUCGCGGAGGUUGCCGCUCCGGUGACGCCGGAGGCCGUCCGAGGGAGGAGCCGGUGCGCCUGGGUGACUCCGACCACCGUUGGAGAUGCUGCUGCUAUUUGUUCAGAUUGGGGGAGGCUAGAGAGGCUUGCUUCAUGUUGUGUUUGCUACGUCAGAGAGCAGUGA